AUACUUACCUGGGCGUUUUUGGCCAAUGAUCAAACAAAGGUUGGUCAAAGCCCGCGUUCUGCUGGCCUGGCACUAACGACAGCGGCUGCGCGGGUGCUUCACUCCCGGAUCCCGGGGGUGACUGCACGCUGCAAUUUUUGGUAGUUCGAAUUGUUUCCUUUUUGCU
rnacentral:snRNA from 20 species